AACGAACGCUGGCGGCAGGCCUAACACAUGCAAGUCGAACGAGAAGCCACCUUCGGGUGGUGGACAGUGGCAGACGGGUGAGUAACGCGUGGGAACGUGCCUUUCGGUUCGGAAUAACCCAGGGAAACUUGGGCUAAUACCGGAUACGCCCUUCGGGGGAAAGAUUCAUUGCCGAAAGAUCGGCCCGCGUCGGAUUAGCUAGUUGGUGGGGUAAUGGCCCACCAAGGCGACGAUCCGUAGCUGGUCUGAGAGGAUGACCAGCCACACUGGGACUGAGACACGGCCCAGACUCCUACGGGAGGCAGCAGUGGGGAAUAUUGGACAAUGGGCGAAAGCCUGAUCCAGCCAUGCCGCGUGGGUGAAGAAGGCCUUAGGGUUGUAAACCCCUUUCAGCGGGGAAGAUAAUGACGGUACCCGCAGAAGAAGUCCCGGCUAACUCCGUGCCAGCAGCCGCGGUAA
rnacentral:rRNA from 1 species